UACGGAGGGUGCAAGCGUUAUCCGGAUUCACUGGGUUUAAAGGGUGCGUAGGUGGGCUAGUAAGUCCGUGGUGAAAUCCCCGAGCUUAACUCCGAAACUGCAUUCGAUACUGCCGUGCUUGAGGACUGGAGAGGAGACUGGAAUUUACGGUGUAGCGGUGAAAUGCGUAGAUAUCGUAAGGAAGACCAGUGGCGAAGGCGGGUCUCUGGACAGUUCCUGACGCUGAGGCACGAAGGUCAGGGGAGCAAACGGG
rnacentral:rRNA from 1 species